rnacentral:lncRNA from 10 species
CAAAAACAAAACAAUUUGCUAGGAGAAGAUACUCAACUUCACUGUGAUCAGAGAAAUGCAAAUGGAAACUACAAAGAGAUUCAAUUUUCCCCUUAUACUAAUGGUCAAAGAUGUCUAUAAAAAAUUGUAACUUCACAGGUCCUCUGACUAUGGAGUUUUGCUCUUAGUUAUUAUAAAGAUAUUUUCAUAGGUGUGUGAAAUGAUGUAUGUAGAAGGACACUCAUUACAGCAUUUUUUAUUAUAGGAAAAGAUUGGAAAUUACCCAAGUGUUCCUCAGUAAGGAAUUGGAUAAAUAACGGCUCAUCUAUAUAAUGGAGUAUAAUGCAGCUAUUUAAAAGAAUGAGAUGGCUCUAUGUGUACUGAUAUAAAACAUUCCCCAAGAUAUAUUAAGUGAAAAAAAGGAGUUAUAUAAUGUACAUGCAGUAUGCCCUCCUCCCUUCUCUCUCCCUCUCUCUCUCGUGUUUGUGUGUGUUUGUAUAUAUGUGUCACUGUGGGAGGCGGAGGCUGGAGGAUCGCUU